UGGUGGGUAGUUUGACUGGGGCGGUCUCCUCCUAAAGAGUAACGGAGGAGCACGAAGGUUGGCUAAUCCUGGUCGGACAUCAGGAGGUUAGUGCAAUGGCAUAAGCCAGCUUGACUGCGAGCGUGACGGCGCGAGCAGGUGCGAAAGCAGGUCAUAGUGAUCCGGUGGUUCUGAAUGGAAGGGCCAUCGCUCAACGGAUAAAAGGUACUCCGGGGAUAACAGGCUGAUACCGCCCAAGAGUUCAUAUCGACGGCGGUGUUUGGCACCUCGAUGUCGGCUCAUCACAUCCUGGGGCUGAAGUAGGUCCCAAGGGUAUGGCUGUUCGCCAUUUAAAGUGGUACGCGAGCUGGGUUUAGAACGUCGUGAGACAGUUCGGUCCCUAUCUGCCGUGGGCGCUGGAGAACUGAGGGGGGCUGCUCCUAGUACGAGAGGACCGGAGUGGACGCAUCACUGGUGUUCGGGUUGUCAUGCCAAUGGCACUGCCCGGUAGCUAAAUGCGGAAGAGAUAAGUGCUGAAAGCAUCUAAGCACGAAACUUGCCCCGAGAUGAGUUCUCCCUGAGACUUAAAGUCUCCUGAAGGAACGUUGAAGACGACGACGUUGAUAGGCCGGGUGUGUAAGCGCAGCGAUGCGUUGAGCUAACC
rnacentral:rRNA from 1 species